rnacentral:lncRNA from 1 species
CCAAAAUAUUUUCUAAUAUAUCAAGGAUAAUUUUGUUAUUUUAGAAACAUUUGAUAGUUUAUUCUAAUUUUUAGCUUAUUUUUAAAAUUUUGACAACCAAACAGAAUUUGACAAAUAGCCAGUGUAGCUAAGUCUCCUAACAUAACUUUCCUUAUUCCCAUUUUUCUUAAUUUCCUACCAACGUCACUAAGUUCAAAGAAGGAAUAGUCACUGGUGUUAUUUACU